rnacentral:rRNA from 1 species
GUGGGGAAUAUUGGACAAUGGGCGAAAGCCUGAUCCAGCCAUGCCGCGUGUGUGAAGAAGGUCUUCGGAUUGUAAAGCACUUUAAGUUGGGAGGAAGGGUAGUAACCUAAUACGUUGCUACUUUGACGUUACCGACAGAAUAAGCACCGGCUAACUUCGUGCCAGCAGCCACGGUAAUACGAAGGGUGCAAGCGUUAAUCGGAAUUACUGGGCGUAAAGCGCGCGUAGGUGGUUCAGUAAGUUGGAAGUGAAAUCCCCGGGCUCAACCUGGGAACUGCUUUCAAAACUGCUGAGCUAGAGUACGGUAGAGGGUGGUGGAAUUUCCUGUGUAGCGGUGAAAUGCGUAGAUAUAGGAAGGAACACCAGUGGCGAAGGCGACCACCUGGACUGAUACUGACACUGAGGUGCGAAAGCGUGGGGAGCAAACAGGAUUAGAAACCCCUGUAGUCC